UACGUAGGGUGCGAGCGUUGUCCGGAAUUACUGGGCGUAAAGAGCGUGUAGGCGGCCAAGCAGGUCCGUUGUGAAAACUGGAGGCUUAACCUCCAGACGUCGACGGAAACCGCGUGGCUAGAGUCCGGAAGAGGAGAGUGGAAUUCCUGGUGUAGCGGUGAAAUGCGCAGAUAUCAGGAAGAACACCAAUGGCGAAGGCAGCUCUCUGGGACGGUACUGACGCUGAGACGCGAAAGCGUGGGGAGCGAACAGG
rnacentral:rRNA from 1 species